CCCUGCUGCUGCUGCUGCUGCUAAGUCGCUUCAGUCGUGUCCGACUCUGUGCGACCCCAUAGACGGCAGCCCACCAGGCCCCGCCGUCCCUGGGAUUCUCCAGGCAAGAACACUGGAGUGGGUUGCCAUUUCCUCCUCCAAUGCAUGAAAGUGAAAAGUGAAAGUGAAGUCGCUCAGUCGUAUCCGACUCUUAGCGACCCCAUGGACUGCAGCCUACCAGGCUCCUCCGUCCAUGGGAUUUUCCAGGCAAGAUAGCUGGCGAGGUGAGGAUUGCCAGUCCUGGAAGGAUGAGGUAAAGUUAAAUCGGGUACAGCAGCAGAAUCAAGGAGGAGGAAGAUCUUGCUCCAAACCCUGAGGGACGGGACGAGAUAUGACAACGAGCAGGAGAAAAAGAAAGAAAGCAAAGUCUCAGCCUGGCUUCUGAGUUUCAAAAGCAGCCGUUGGUCUGGACACGACAUGCAGGUUCGUCUGGGAGCAUCCUGCUCACUCCCGUUGCCUCUAAGCUCCCUCCUCCCUUCACCCUCCUACCCUCGUGAUCAUUGCCUGCACCUGCAGUUCCCCUGGGGAGUCCUCUCUGAGCCUUCUCUGCAGGCUCAGCCUCCAGCAAAAAGAGCCCCGUGUUCUAACUCAAGAGGACUCAGCUGAGGGACGCCCACCAGAGAUGACCUCAGCAACCCCUCCAGUCGCUCAGUCAACAAGUACUUAUCGAAGGUCUUCCCUGCGCCAGAUGCUGUUUCAGAUGCUGGACAUUCAGCAGUGAACAAACAGACAAAAACCUCUGCCCUUGUGGGCUCGCAUCCCAGUACUGUUACCAUAGUAACAGGCCUUGAGCACCACUCGGUCCCCCCACAUCUGUCCCGAGAGUUGGAAACAUCCUGAUGGCACAGACAGCACUUCCCUCCGGGGUCUCCACGAAGCUGGGGUGUCACUGGCACAGCUCUUUCUCUCCCCUUGACCCGGCUCCCCCGAGGCCACGGGUAUCACGGGGCAAGGGUGCGCCUGGCACAGCGCUGGUAUGAGGCCGUGAUUGUCAGACUCAGCAGUGGCUUUGGCAGUUCAAGCGCCUUCAGCUACCAUUGCCGUUUGGUGUGUUUCUGUUUUGCUCUAACUGAAACUUAGUGCUUCUCUUUCAAUGUAUUUUCAAUCUGUUAUGUAAUUGCAUAUCAUUACAUAAUAGUAAAAAAAAAAAAAUUUGUGUCCCUAUUGUUCAUAAAAUUGUCCUGUUUUAGGAAAUAACUUACCUGGAAGCUUGACUCACCUAGAGUGGGGCACGUCAGGUCAAGCGCUCUGCGGUACCAUUCAUCUGUUCAGGUAGCAUUAGUUGAACAUCUGCCCCCACAGCAGAUGCCGAGAGUGGGAGUGGGAGCCCAGGGAGACCCCUGUUUAGAGAGGCCUGUUUUC
rnacentral:lncRNA from 1 species